GUAAGGAAUAUUGGACAAUGGACGCAAGUCUGAUCCAGCCAUGCCGCGUGAAGGAUUAAGGUCCUCUGGAUUGUAAACUUCUUUUAUAAGGGACGAAAAAAGGCUUUUCUAAGUCGUCUGACGGUACCUUAUGAAUAAGCACCGGCUAACUCCGUGCCAGCAGCCGCGGUAAUACGGAGGGUGCAAGCGUUAUCCGGAUUCACUGGGUUUAAAGGGUGCGUAGGCGGGCAGGUAAGUCAGUUGUGAAAUCCUAGAGCUUAACUCUAGAACUGCCAUUGAUACUAUCUGUCUUGAAUAUUGUGGAGGUAAGCGGAAUAUGUCAUGUAGCGGUGAAAUGCUUAGAUAUGACAUAGAACACCUAUUGCGAAGGCAGCUUACUACGCAUAUAUUGACGCUGAGGCACGAAAGCGUGGGGAUCAAACAGGAUUAGAAACCCGAGUAGUCC
rnacentral:rRNA from 1 species